UCAGGGAGGCUCAUUACUGGGCUGUCUGGAGGGUGUUGAAUUUUUUGGCCACAACAGCUCUUCAAGACCAUCUGUGAAGUCAUUGUGGGUUUGUAAUUGGCUUUCAUAAUGUGAGUAUCAUGAAAUCCCUCUUUCUUCAAGAUUCAGAUCAACUGGAGAUACAAACCCCAAAGUGAAAUCAUGUCUACCCUCAAGAAUGCCACCCCAAAGCUGGAGGAAUUCAGCCUUCUUAAUCAGGCUCUUCUUCAACUUCAGCAAUCAGCUUUCUUCUCGCCCUGAUGAAAUAGGAAGUGAUGCUCCCAUCAAAUUCAUGCCACAAGGUCCCAACAGAAGGAAGCCCCAUUAUCCGUCCUUAGUCCUUCGCAGUUUGGAGGUGGCGAAUGAUAAUGCUAUGACGAUAGUGGCACCUACAGAACUAUUCACUAUACACAGUAGCUUGUGGGUUGCUUUCCUUAAAGCUGCAAAAGGUCUUCAUUCCUGAUCACUGGAAGAGUUUGUUGUCACUGGAAUUGUUACAUUUAGCCACUAUAUGUCCUGGAGUUUGAAGCAUAGGAUUUCUUUCUGUAGGUAAUUGGUGUAUUUUUUUUUCUUUUUGUCCAUUGACUAUUUUUUGUGAGUUACCACUUAUUUUAAAAAUAUUUAACAAUAUAACAUGUAACAUAACAAGUGAUUUAUCAUAAGCAUGUAAUAAAUUGUAAUACAUAUGCUUAUCA
rnacentral:lncRNA from 1 species